UACGGAGGGUGCGAGCGUUAAUCGGAAUUAUUGGGCGUAAAGGGUGCGUAGGUGGUUUGUUAAGUUAUCUGUGAAAACCCUGGGCUUAACCUGGGGCUGGGAGAUAAGACUGGCAGACUGGAGUAUGGGAGAGGGUAGUGGAAUUUCCGGUGUAGCGGUGAAAUGCGUAGAGAUCGGAAGGAACACCGGUGGCGAAGGCGGCUACCUGGCCUAAUACUGACACUGAGGCACGAAAGCGUGGGGAGCAAACAGG
rnacentral:rRNA from 1 species